AUUGAACGCUGGCGGCAGGCCUAACACAUGCAAGUCGAGCGGAUGAAGGGAGCUUGCUCCUGGAUUCAGCGGCGGACGGGUGAGUAAUGCCUAGGAAUCUGCCUGGUAGUGGGGGAUAACGUCCGGAAACGGGCGCUAAUACCGCAUACGUCCUGAGGGAGAAAGUGGGGGAUCUUCGGACCUCACGCUAUCAGAUGAGCCUAGGUCGGAUUAGCUAGUUGGUGGGGUAAAGGCCUACCAAGGCGACGAUCCGUAACUGGCCUGAGAGGAUGAUCAGUCACACUGGAACUGAGACACGGUCCAGACUCCUACGGGAGGCAGCAGUGGGGAAUAUUGGACAAUGGGCGAAAGCCUGAUCCAGCCAUGCCGCGUGUGUGAAGAAGGUCUUCGGAUUGUAAAGCACUUUAAGUUGGGAGGAAGGGCAGUAAGUUAAUACCUUGCUGUUUUGACGUUACCAACAGAAUAAGCACCGGCUAACUUCAUG
rnacentral:rRNA from 1 species